rnacentral:rRNA from 1 species
GUCUAUGGCCAUGCCACCCUGAACAACCCGGAUGUCUGCUCUCAGAAGCUAAGCAGGGUUGGGCCUGGUUAGUACUUGGAUGGGAGACCACCUAGGAAGACCAGGUGCUGUAGGCA